rnacentral:lncRNA from 1 species
UCACGUCCCGCCACUUCGCAGUAAAAUUUGGCGUCCGGAUAGGGGCGGAAGGGUCUAGAGUUGUGGAGAGGUUUCCGGAAAACUCUAGAACCCUCUAGAUUAUUCAAGAAGGCUAGAGAAUUCCCUAGAAUUCUCUAGAAAUGACUUAGAAGGCAAUGGAAGGUCCUAGAGUAUGUAGAAAGUUCUAGAGCUAGGACCAAAGUGUAAAUAAGUUUAGGGACUUAGAAAGUAAUUUAAAAUUGUACUUUAGUCCCUAGGAGUUAGUAUAAAUAGAGGUGCCACCAUUUGCAAAGGCACCACCCAAGCU